CCUACGGGGGGCUGCAGUGGGGAAUAUUGCACAAUGGGGGAAACCCUGAUGCAGCAACGCCGCGUGAGCGAAGAAGGCCUUCGGGUCGUAAAGCUCUGUUGUCAGGGAAGAACAAGUACCGGAGUAACUGCCGGUACCUUGACGGUACCUGACGAGAAAGCCACGGCUAACUACGUGCCAGCAGCCGCGGUAAUACGUAGGUGGCAAGCGUUGUCCGGAAUUAUUGGGCGUAAAGCGCGCGCAGGCGGUCCUUUAAGUCUGAUGUGAAAUCUUGCGGCUCAACCGCAAGCGGCCAUUGGAAACUGGGGGACUUGAGUGCAGGAGAGGGAAGUGGAAUUCCACGUGUAGCGGUGAAAUGCGUAGAGAUGUGGAGGAACACCAGUGGCGAAGGCGGCUUCCUGGCCUGUAACUGACGCUGAGGCGCGAAAGCGUGGGGAGCAAACAGGAUUAGAUACCCCAGUAGUC
rnacentral:rRNA from 1 species